GUCAUGUGGUACUCGGAUAUUCAAGUGUGCAAAUGUAAACUUUCGUUCCUGUCAUCGCCCUGUUUCCGCCCCCCUUCGUCUAUUGCGUGUCCCACCUGCACAACAUGCACAGGAUGUUUGUUUUCACCAUUCCCCUUGCACUGGGGGUUUGAAUUGCAAUUUACACUUGUUUUCGCAGAUGUUUCAUUGGAGUUUUCUGCUAAUGCUCACUUUCUCUGUGCAGCUGAGGAGGAGCGGUCCGGCCUGAAGGUGCUCCUGCGUCUUUGCUUUUAUUUUGAGGUCCUGUAAGCUGGUUUAGAUUUU
rnacentral:lncRNA from 1 species